UAGUAGAACCCCACAUUCACAGGCAUGAAC
rnacentral:piRNA from 1 species